GUGAGGAAUAUUGGACAAUGGGCGCAAGCCUGAUCCAGCCAUGCCGCGUGCAGGAAGACGCAUCUAUGGUGUGUAAACUGCUUUUGUACGGGAAGAAACACUCCCUCGUGAGGGAGCUUGACGGUACCGUAAGAAUAAGGAUCGGCUAACUCCGUGCCAGCAGCCGCGGUAAUACGGAGGAUCCAAGCGUUAUCCGGAAUCAUUGGGCUUAAAGGGUACGUAGGCGGUUUAAUAAGUCGGUGGUGAAAGCCCAUCGCUCAACGAUGGAACGGCCAUUGAUACUGUUAGACUUGAAUUACAAGGAAGUAACUAGAAUAUGUAGUGUAGCGGUGAAAUGCUUAGAUAUUACAUGGAAUACCAAUUGAGAAGGCAGGUUACUACUUGUGGAUUGACGCUGAUGGACGAAAGCGUGGGGAGCGAACAGGAUUAGAUACCCGGGUAGUCC
rnacentral:rRNA from 1 species